rnacentral:rRNA from 1 species
GACGAACGCUGGCGGCGUGCUUAACACAUGCAAGUCGAACGGAGUGGCGAACUGGUGAGUAACACGUGGGUGAGCUGCCCUGCACUUCGGGAUAAGCCUGGGAAACUGGGUCUACUGCCGGAGAGUGUGGGAUGGGCCCGGGGCCUAUCGGCUUGUUGGUGGGGUAAUGGCCUACCAAGGCGGCGACGGGUAGCCGGCCUGAGAGGGUGGACGGCGACAUUGGGACUGAGACACGGCGCAGACUCCGACGGGAGGCAGCAGGGGGGAAUCUUGCGCAAUGGGGGGAAGCCUGAUGCAGCGACGCCGCGUGGGUGAUGCCGGCCUUCGGGGUGGAAACUCCUUUAACCAUAGACGCGGUAGAUGGAGAAGAAGCACCGGCUAACUACGUGCCAGCCGCCGCGGUAAUUC